AACGAUGAAGACCGUGCUUGCACGGUUGGAUUAGUGGCGAACGGGUGAGUAUCACGUGAGUAACCUUCCCUUAACUCUGGGAUAAGCCCGGGAAACUGGGUCUAAUACCGGAUACGACCAGUCCUCGCAUGGGGUGCUGGUGGAAAGAUUUAUCGGUUUUGGAUGGACUCGCGGCCUAUCAGCUUGUUGGUGAGGUAAAGGCUCACCAAGGCGAUGACGGGUAGCCGGCCUGAGAGGGUGACCGGCCACACUGGGACUGAGACACGGCCCAGACUCCUACGGGAGGCAGCAGUGGGGAAUAUUGCACAAUGGGCGAAAGCCUGAUGCAGCGACGCCGCGUGCGGGAUGACGGCCUUCGGGUUGUAAACCGCUUUCAGCAGGGAAGAAGCGAAAGUGACGGUACCUGCAGAAGAAGCGCCGGCUAACUACGUGCCAGCAGCCGCGGUAAUACGUAGGGCGCGAGCGUUAUCCGGAAUUAUUGGGCGUAAAGAGCUCGUAGGCGGUUUGUCACGUCUGCUGUGAAAGCCCGGGGCUCAACCCCGGGUGUGCAGUGGGUACGGGCAGACUAGAGUGCAGUAGGGGAGACUGGAAUUCCUGGUGUAGCGGUGAAAUGCGCAGAUAUCAGGAGGAACACCGAUGGCGAAGGCAGGUCUCUGGGCUGUUACUGACGCUGAGGAGCGAAAGCAUGGGG
rnacentral:rRNA from 1 species